AGACAGAGACAGAGGUCAGAGAGGUCAGUGACAAGACAAAGACACAUGACCUCUGCUCCCUGGUUGCCAUGGCUGCAAGCUUUGUGUCAGUGCCGGUUCUAGCCUUUUGGAGGCCCUAAGCAACAUUGUCUUCCCUCUCAGAUCUAACCAGACAGACAGAGGAGAUUUGCGGUGAGAGGAGAAAUACAACUGAGCCAGAGACAAUAUCCAAAUUCCAGAAGACCCAUCCAGAGAGGUGAAUCACGACAGAGCCAGAGACAAUGACUGAUUGAUUGCUUCUGUGGACAGGUGUCUUUUAUACAGUUGAACACUUUCUACUUGAGUGAUGAUAAUGUUCAGACACCAGAAAAGCCAACUUGCCUGAUGGCCUUUACACACCUAAUUGUGACGAUCCAUGUAAGAAUGCUGGGUUGGACACAAGGCAGUGCUAGCAU